rnacentral:tRNA from 1 species
GCGGGUGUGGCGGAAUUGGCAGACGCACUAGACUUAGGAUCUAGCGCCUUUGGCGUGGGGGGUCGACUCCCUUCACCCGCA